AUGGCUCGGUCUCCCUCGACUCCUUUUCUCUACUCCUCUCUCUGCAAAUUCAAAAACCAAAAUUUUAUUUUUCAUCUCCAAAGCCAACUUUCUCUAUUUCAUCUCCAAAAGCAACAUCAGUCAAAAUCAUGUUUUAUUCCCCCAAAUUCUCAAAUGUCACUGACUUGUUGUCCUUCCUUGUAACAUUUCUACUAAGUGAUAACAAAGAGAAAUUUCUAAUGCUCGGGUAUGAAGCUUUUCACUUUAAGGAGCUUUACACUCUGUGA
rnacentral:lncRNA from 1 species